CUUAGCUCAGUUGGAUAGAGCACGUGCCUUCUAAGCAUGUGGUCACAGGUUCGAAUCCUGUA
rnacentral:tRNA from 2 species